UACGAAGGGGGCUCGCGUUGCUCGGAAUCACUGGGCGUAAAGGGUGCGUAGGCGGGCCUUUAAGUCAGGGGUGAAAUCCUGGAGCUCAACUCCAGAACUGCCUUUGAUACUGAAGAUCUUGAGUUCGGGAGAGGUGAGUGGAACUGCGAGUGUAGAGGUGAAAUUCGUAGAUAUUCGCAAGAACACCAGUGGCGAAGGCGGCUCACUGGCCCGAUACUGACGCUGAGGCACGAAAGCGUGGGGAGCAAACAGG
rnacentral:rRNA from 1 species